UACAGAGGUCUCAAGCGUUGUUCGGAUUCAUUGGGCGUAAAGGGUGCGUAGGCGGCGCGGUAAGUCGGGUGUGAAAUCUCGGAGCUUAACUCCGAAACUGCAUUCGAUACUGCCGUGCUUGAGGACUGGAGAGGAGACUGGAAUUUACGGUGUAGCGGUGAAAUGCGUAGAUAUCUGGAGGAACACCGGUGGCGAAGGCGGCCAUCUGGACCGCAACUGACGCUGAGGCGCGAAAGCGUGGGGAGCAAACAGG
rnacentral:rRNA from 1 species